rnacentral:sRNA from 1 species
GUAGUUACAUGGAUAGAGGUAGUGCAGAGGUGCGGGGUAUUAGAGGAUAGAGGUAGUGCAGAGGUGGGGGGUUGUUAGAGGAUAGAGGUAGUGCAGAGGUGCGGGGUAGUUACAUGGAUAGAGGUAGUGCAGAGGUGCGGGGUAGUUACAUGGAUAGAGGUAGUGCAGAGGUGCGGGGUAGUUAGAGGAUAGAGGUAGUGUAGAGGUGCGGGGUAUUAGAGGAUAGAGGUAGUGCAGAGGUGCGGGGUAGUUACAUGGAUAGAGGUAGUGCAGAGGUGCGGGGUAUUAGAGGAUAGAGGUAGUGCAGAGGUGCGGGGUAUUAGAGGAUAGAGGUAGUGCAGAGGUGCGGGGUAGUUGGAGGAUAGAGGUAGUGCAGAGGUGCGGGGUAGUUACAUGGAUAGAGGUAGUGCAGAGGUGCGGGGUAUUAGAGGAUAGAGGUAGUGCAGAGGUGCGGGGUAUUAGCGGAUAGAGGUAGUGCAGAGGUGCGGGGUAGUUACAUGGAUAGAGGUAGUGCAGAGGUGCGGUGUUAGAGGAUAGAGGUAGUGCAGAGGUGGGGGUAGUUACAUGGAUAGAGGUAGUGCAGAGAUGCGGGGUGUUAGAGGAUAGAGGUAGUGCAGAGGUGCGGGGUAUUAGAGGAUAGAGGUAGUGCAGAGGUGGGGGGUUGUUAGAGGAUAGAGGUAGUGCAGAGGUGCGGGGUAGUUACAUGGAUAGAGGUAGUGCAGAGGUGCGGGGUAUUAGAGGAUAGAGGUAGUGCAGAGGUGCGGGGUAUUAGAGGAUAGAGGUAGUGCAGAGGUGCGGGGUAGUUACAUGGAUAGAGGUAGUGCAGAGGUGCGGGGUAUUAGAGGAUAGAGGUAGUGCAGAGGUGCGGGGUAGUUGGAGGAUAGAGGUAAUGCAGAGGUGCGGGGUAGUUACAUGGAUAGAGGUAGUGUAGAGGUGCGGGGUAUUAGAGGAUAGAGGUAGUGCAGAGGUGCGGGGUAGUUACAUGGAUAGAGGUAGUGCAGAGGUGCGGGGUAUUAGAGGAUAGAGGUAGUGCAGAGGUGCGGGGUAGUUACAUGGAUAGAGGUAGUGCAGAGGUGCGGUGUUAGAGGAUAGAGGUAGUGCAGAGGUGCGGGGUAUUAGAGGAUAGAGGUAGUGCAGAGGUGCGGUGUUAGAGGAUAGAGGUAGUGCAGAGGUGCGGGGUGUUAGAGGAUAGAGGUAGUGCAGAGGUGCGGGGUAUUAGAGGAUAGAGGUAGUGCAGAGGUGGGGGGUAUUAGAGGAUAGAGGUAGUGCAGAGGUGGGGGGUAUUAGAGGAUAGAGGUAGUGCAGAGGUGCGGUGUUAGAGGAUAGAGGUAGUGCAGAGGUGCGGUGUUAGAGGAUAGAGGUAGUGCAGAGGUGGGGGGUAUUAGAGGAUAGAGGUAGUGCAGAGGUGGGGGGUUGUUAGAGGAUAGAGGUAGUGCAGAGGUGCGGGGUAGUUACAUGGAUAGAGGUAGUGCAGAGGUGCGGGGUAUUAGAGGAUAGAGGUAGUGCAGAGGUGCGGGGUAGUUGGAGGAUAGAGGUAGUGCAGAGGUGCGGGGUAGUUACAUGGAUAGAGGUAGUGCAGAGGUGCGGGGUGUUAGAGGAUAGAGGUAGUGCAGAGGUGCAGUGUUAGAGGAUAGAGGUAGUGCAGAGGUGCGGGGUAUUAGAGGAUAGAGGUAGUGCAGAGGUGCGGGGUAUUAGAGGAUAGAGGUAGUGCAGAGGUGCGGGGUAGUUAGAGGAUAGAGGUAGUGGCAGCUUGCAGAAGUUCUUGCCAAGUUGUUUUGUUUUGUUUAUGUAAAGAAAAGCCAUCAGUUCAGGGUAAACAUAGCAUGGGGUUAGAUAUUUGAGUCAAAAAGAGAUAGUAUGCCAGACCUUUAAUCCCAGUACUGAGGAGGAAGAGACAGGUGGGUCUAAGACCAGAGAAUAAAGCUGAGUAAAAAGGAAAAUGAAAAGGUAAGACACCAAGAACAGUGAACUUGAGUUGCAGAUGUCUCAGAUGAUCCUGGACAGGACGUCAUCAUUGAUGGCAAAGUGUGUGCUCUAAAUGUGACACAGAGGCUGUACUGUGCACUUAAACUGGUGUUGGCUAUGCUUAAAUGAACCCUACAGGUAGAUCACAGGAGACUUUUUCUUGGUUUGUUCUGUCUCACCACUUCACUCUGAUAGUCUCAGACUGAUGCAGUCUAUCAUUAAGGUUUGGAGGGGUUGUUUUGUUUGGUGGGGGCUUGGAGUUUUUUUGUUGGUGGUGGUGGUGGUGACUUUUUGGCUUCAUUUGAUGACAUACCAGAUAAUACUUUUCCUUGUAUAAACCACAUUGACUGUGAUAUCCCAGCAUACAUGGCUCAGCAGAUAAAGCUACUAUCACCAAGCCUGAUGAGCUGAGUUCAGUCCCCAGGACUCACAUAGUAAGAGAAAAGAGCUAACUCUUGGAACUUGCUCUCUGACCUCCAUUGGAUGAGCCAUGGCACAGCUGCUCACAUACAUAGACACAUAAUAAAUUCAUAAGGGAAAUGUAAUUUUAAAAGAUGUGCUUUAUUAUUUUUAGUCAUGUGUGUAUAUGUAGGCCUGAGUGGGAGUAUGUGCAUGUGAGUGCAGGUGUUCUCAGUGGCCAGAGGCGUUGGAUAUCCCAAGAGCUGGAGUUGCUUGUAGUUUGAGCCACCAGACCUGGAUGCUGGAAAUUGAACUCAGGAAUAACACAUGUUCUUAACCACAGCCCACCUCUCCAGCCCCAAUUUAAAAGUAAAAGGUUUAAAUGGAUGCUCUGUAGAAGAAAUACAGUAUACAAAGACAAGAAGCACAGCCAUGGUUUUUAUAAACUUAUCCACAUCAUUUUAUAACUACAUAUGGCAGACUUUUCUCCCAAUGCUAAGAAUUCAACAUAGGCCUGGCAUUUGCCAAGGCAAGUCCUUUAUCACAGAGUUAAGUCCCGGCCCACACAACAUAUUUUGGGCAGUAAUUUAAGUGUAUUUUUUCCCCUAUAUUUGGGUGAGGUACUUUUGUCUGUAAAAGCAUGGUAAUAAUAGACAAAUAUUUCUGGCCAGCUAGAACUGUAGAGUAUGUAGAAAGCAGUAGUUCCUUCAGUCAAGUGUUUCUUCCUUUCACUCCAUUUACUGUUAUUGUAUGUGUGUGUGCACAUGAUGGGAGGAAUUCUAACCACAAAGCAUGUAUAUGGAGAUCAGAGGACAGCUUUGUUAAGUCAGUUCUCUCCAUCCAUCUUUCCUUGAGCUCCAGGGAUCAAGCUCAGGCCUAAGGGAAGCGCCUUUACCAGCUAAGCUAUCAGCAGCCCUCAGUUAAUUCUUCCAUUAGGUUCUAAGGAUAUUACCCGUGCAUCCCCCUAUAUCCCUCCUGUCAUGCUGCUCACCGUUUCCUUACGAUGCCCUUUCUGUGCCUUGGAAAUGAUCAUAAAUGGUUACAUAACAGACUGCUCCACGUUGUGGUGGACUACAAUGACGAGCUUUACCUCACAGCUUCUGUGGAACAGGGUGUUCCUGGCUCCAAUCUCGUGAGGUUGCUGUCAAGAUGUCACUAGGACUACAGUCACCUGAAGGCUGACUGGGCUUUAGAGUCCCCUUGUUACCUGUACACAUUGGCUCUUCUUUGGGGCUACUUGAAUGUCCUCAUGAUAUGGCAGCUUUCCCCAGAACAAGUGAUUCAAGAUAUAUUCUUUUAUGUUCUAAUAGCAAGAGCCAUUCCCAAUCAUUUCCCCAUAGUCUAGCUGCUAGAAGCAACUCAUUAAGUACAGCCUCACACUAGGAAUGGAGAUUGAACUCUACCAAAGGAGGAAGGACCAUGAUAAUUGUGGACAUUUUAAAUCAUCACAACUGGCUUUGCCAUGUUUUCCUGACUGGGGUGCUGUCAAGAACAAGAUAACAGGUUGUAUUCAAGUAUGUCUAAUUAGUCAAUAACUUAGUACUUGCAAACUUAUUCUUAGUGCUAGGUAACUCUUACCCCUCUUGCCAGGAUGUAGGUAAUGGUUAUUUAGGAACUAAACUGAGACAUUGUGAACAUUUGAACUAACUUAUCAGCAAAGGUCAUGUAUAGGAACAUAAAAUAAGUCAUGAUGUCUGUAUCUUUGAAGAAUUUAUAUUAGAGAAUCCAGACCAAAAACUGACUAAUAUAAGAGAAGAUGCUGACAGUGGUAAAUAAGAUGCCUUGGUUCCGUGGAAGGAAAAUCUACCCAAGACGUGAGAGGUCAGGGAGCCAGGGAAGUUUUCCAGGAGCAGUGACUCCGCCACAGAACUCAGGCACACAGCUUCGGGGCUGUGCAGGGGGUGCCUCACUGCUCUCGUUGCC